rnacentral:lncRNA from 1 species
UAAGCAACAUCACUAUUACCUUCUUUGUUGCGAAGACCCUGAGAUUCACCCUGAAGCCGUGCUUUCUCAUGAACCUCACCCCAGACACGCGUAACACGAGAAGCCAGGAAAUGAAAGAGCACAACACAACUUUAAUCGUGUCCACCGGUCCACAUACACUCCUUGCAUCACUGGACAAGUCAACAUAUGACCAAGAAGGAGCGUCUUGGCUGCUAUCGACCUGGCUCAACCCAAGACUCUCGUUCAACCAGCCUGAUAGCUUUACAAGCACCUUUGCCAGCCACGCGAUUUCAUCAUCUGAGAUGGGCCGCUUUAUCC